rnacentral:hammerhead_ribozyme from 1 species
AUCCAGCUGAUGAGUCCCGAAUGGGACGAAACACGCGUACUGGAU